rnacentral:rRNA from 1 species
AGAGGGGGCUAGCGUUAUUCGGAAUUAUUGGGCGUAAAGGGCGUGUAGGCGGCCAUGCGUGUCUUCCGUGAAAUCCCUCGGCUUAACUGAGGACGUGCGGAAGAAACUGCAAGGCUCGAGUCCGGGAGAGGGGGGUGGAAUUCCCAGUGUAGCGGUGAAAUGCGUAGAUAUUGGGAGGAACACCGGUGGCGAAGGCGGCCCCCUGGACCGGUACUGACGCUGAGGCGCGAAAGCGUGGGUAGCAAACGGGAUUAGAUACCCCGGUAGUCCACGCCGUAAACGAUGGGCACUUGGUGUCGCGGGUAUCGACCCCUGCGGUGCCGAAGCUAACGCAUUAAGUGCCCCGCCUGGGGAGUACGGUCGCAAGGCUG